rnacentral:rRNA from 1 species
CACACUAUCAUUAACUGAAUCCAUAGGUUAAUGAGGCGAACCGGGGGAACUGAAACAUCUAAGUACCCCGAGGAAAAGAAAUCAACCGAGAUUCCCCCAGUAGCGGCGAGCGAACGGGGAGGAGCCCAGAGCCUGAAUCAGUGUGUGUGUUAGUGGAAGCGUCUGGAAAGGCGCGCGAUACAGGGUGACAGCCCCGUACACAAAAAUGCACAUACUGUGAGCUCGAUGAGUAGGGCGGGACACGUGGUA